AUUGAACGCUGGCGGCAUGCCUUACACAUGCAAGUCGAACGGUAACAGGGAGCUUGCUCCGCUGACGAGUGGCGGACGGGUGAGUAAUGUAUCGGAACGUACCUUUCAGUGGGGGAUAACGUAGCGAAAGUUACGCUAAUACCGCAUAUUCUCUGAGGAGGAAAGCAGGGGACCUUCGGGCCUUGCGCUGAUUGAGCUGCUGAUAACAGAUUAGCUAGUUGGUGGGGUAAAGGCUAACCAAGGCGACGAUCUGUAGCGGGUCUGAGAGGAUGAUCCGCCACACUGGAACUGAGACACGGUCCAGACUCCUACGGGAGGCAGCAGUGGGGAAUUUUGGACAAUGGGGGCAACCCUGAUCCAGCCAUGCCGCGUGAGUGAAGAAGGCCUUCGGGUUGUAAAGCUCUUUCGGCCGGGAAAAAAUCGCAUGGGCUAAUACCCUGUGUGGAUGAUGGUACCGGAAUAAGAAGCACCGGCUAACUACGUGCCAGCAGCCGCCGUAA
rnacentral:rRNA from 1 species